rnacentral:tRNA from 1 species
GGACAGGUGGCCGAGUGGCUGAAGGCACCGGUCUCGAAAACCGGCAUACCGGUGAACCCGGUAUCGUGGGUUCAAAUCCCACCCUGUCCG